AAGACUAUAGACCUGCGGAGUACCUGCGGAGGGAUCAUUACAGAGUUCAUGCCCUCGCGGGUAGAUCUCCCACCCUUGAAUACUUCUACCUUUGUUGCUUUGGCGGGCCGCUUCGGCUACCGGCUCUCGCUGGUAAGUGCCCGCCAGAGGACCCCUAAACUCUGAAUGUCAGUGUCGUCUGAGUCCUAUACAAUGGCUAAAACUUUCAACAACGGAUCUCU
rnacentral:misc_RNA from 1 species